UACGUAGGGUGCAAGCGUUGUCCGGAAUUAUUGGGCGUAAAGAGCUCGUAGGCGGUCUGUCGCGUCUGCUGUGAAAACUCAGGGCUUAACCCUGAGCUUGCAGUGGGUACGGGCAGACUAGAGUGCGGUAGGGGAGACUGGAAUUCCUGGCGUAGCGGUGAAAUGCGCAGAUAUCAGGAGGAACACCGGUGGCGAAGGCGGCGACCUGGGUCGAGACUGACGCUGGAGGCGACGGAAAGCGUGGGGAGCAAACAGG
rnacentral:rRNA from 1 species